UGCCUGCUCACAUUUCAGUCAUUGAGGAAAAGAGAAUUGAAUUCUGUUUGAGGUAACUUUAGCCAAAGAGUAUACUAUAAUCCUCAAAUACCCUCUCCGGACUUCUAGUCCUUAUGUGUAAAAUGAAGAGGCUGGGCUCCACGAUGCCCGCGGAGCUCCGGAUCUAUGAUCCUGAGGGGAAAGGCUGGGAAUUUGCCGAUUAGCCCAUCCUAAAACUUCCAAAUGGAAUUUCUACAGAAAUUUCGCAAUAACUUUAAAGACUAACCCAUUAUGGAAAGGCCCCUUUCCUGGGCUUGCACCUGCAAUUUUCUGUCGCUAGAGGUCUCUGGAACUUAUCAGAAAGAUUGAGCUAUUUAGGCUUUUUAUGCUGGGAGUUCACCUACAGGCUCAGCUGUACUGUUACAUAAUCUUCUUACGUAAUUCAGCUCUAGUUAAUUAUCUCGCGGACAAAAUGGGCUGCUGGGGAACCUUUGGGUCAGCUGUGGUGCAGAGGUCUUGGGGAGGGCAGAAUGGAGAGAAGAGGGCAUGCCAGAGGGGAACACGAGGAAAAGACAGAAAAGUAGGGAAUUCCCUUUACCUCCGGAAGCGGUCAGAUGGAGCAGAGCCGUGGGACACAGCAUGGUGCCCAAACCUGAAGUUUCAUGGCUGAGUCAUCAUCUUCAGAAUAUAAAGAGCCAGCUGAAUCACAGACUCUCAGAGCUGGAUGGGACCUUAGAAACCAUCCAGUUCCACCUCUUUCUGAACAAGAUUCCCCCUUACAAUAGCCCCAACAAGUGGUCUUCUGGUCUCCCCCUGAGAACUUCCAGUAAUGAGCAUCAUUUACUCCUUCCAAAAGCAACAACCCAUUCUACUUUUUUUCCAGCUCCAACUGUGACUGCUCUGAACCCAAAUAUGCCUUUGCUGUCAUUAUUCCUAGCUCUGCUCUCUGAAAUCAGGGAGGGCAAGUGGAAGCCUCUUUCAAGUGACUUGUUUUGGGGCAGAAGGAUUUCUUAAUGUUCCAGGGGAAAGGGUAAGGAUUCUGUUGAGCUCCAGAGAUUAAUGAUUGAACUAAAUUUAGCUGAGUAUUGGGGUACUGGCUGGCAGCCCCUGGCAAUGUAAAAUCUUUCAUUCUGCCUUCUUGGUCAGAGAGAGAACCCCUAGAUCUUAGUGGCCUGGUGAAAGGGGGUAUGUAUACUUACCUUAAUAUUUCAAUGGCUUUAUGGUCUCACGAGGCCACAUGCAUACAUUAAACAUUUACCACUUACUAAAUUAUCAUUUAGUAAGCAAUUGCCAGGCACUAUGCUGAGUAAUGAGGCUGCAAAGAAAGGCAAAAACAUUCUGUCCUCAUGGAGUUUCUAAUGGGAGAGAAAGCAUGUAAGUAAUGUUUUACACAAAUGAUAUCUACUGAAUAGAUGGAAGAUGGCCUUAAAGGGGAAAAGACUCUAACAACUGGGAAGGGGACCAUGAAAAGUUUCAUCAGUGUUACUAUUUUUCCAAAGGAACAGAUCACAAUUAAUAUGUAUGUAUAAUUCCUAUCCCUAUCAUCCCAUAAGAUUUCCCCAAGUUUUGGGGGGCCUGCCUUUCCCUAGGUCUUUGACCGUUAUGUGGAUACCAGUGUAGCAUGUGGAUUGCCCAUUCAUCAUCUUUAACUCUUGCUGCAUGACUGACUCACCUCUUUAUCAUUCAUUUCUUAGACGUUAUCUUUUAUGCAAAUUUUUGUAUGGGAGCUAAUUGUUGGGAAUAUCCUGCAGCCUAUUUAUGAUUGAUUCUUUGGAGGUUGCAAUGUAUUGGUUAUCUGUUUUAUCAGUCCACAGAGGAAAACAAGUAGCCAAUAAGAAGAAUAUGGAGCUGUUCUGUUAGAAACAGUCUCACUAAUAACAGUAAAAGUGACAGAUGAUACGGAAAGAAAAGAGAGAAAAACUAAAAAGUAGACUCAGAAUUACAGAAUGAUAAUCAUAAUUAUGACUCUGAAUCAUCCGUGAAGGGUUGUUAUUUAAUAUUCUGUCUUUUAAAAGGGGUGUAUGGUGUGCUCAGGGAGGGGUAGUAUCUCUGGUAUGGAGGGCUUGUCAUGCCCUCCUAGGGCAGUUCUCCAGCCUCUGACCCCCACCUGACUCCCAGCUCUCACUUGUGGCUCCCAGUAGCUGCUAGCAUGCGGCAGCGGCCACACCCCAGGCAAUGGCUUCGACAGGCCGGCUAAACCUUGUGAGAGUAGCCAUCGGAUCGUCAUCGACCCCUGGUGAACCAGGGCUUUGCUCACCCAGCAUGUGAAGACUGCUUUGGCUGAACAGAAGGAAGAACCCAAUAAGAAGAUUCAAUGGCUGAGAUGGCGACGCAGCAAAGCACUGUGGAGUGCUUAGGGUGUGUUGGAGCACAAAAGACAACACGGCCAUCCAAUGCAGCUGAGGAAGUCUCCAGGUGUAACGACUUUUCGUACCACUGGACCCAGGCUUCCAACGCUGAGAGUGGGACUGUCUCUGUGCAUCGGCUUUUCCACUUAAAUCUCCUUCACGCACAAGUGUCUUUGUGCACACUCAUCUAUCAUAGAUGAAAAUGCACAAAGACAAUCGUCAUUAUCGGCUUCCGAGAGACUACUACCAUCUUUAAAAAGUAGGGAAGUGUAUAUGUUUUUGAUAAAUUCUCACUUAGAGCAUUUACAAUAUAAAAGUAUAUAUAUAUAUAUAUAUUUUUAAACCCUUACCUUCAGUCUUGGAGUCAAUACUGUGUAUUAGUGGUAAGGGCUAGGCAAUGGGGGUCAAGUGACUUGCCCAGGGCCACACAGCUGGGGAGUAUCUGAGGCCAGAUUUGAACAUAGGCCCUCCCAUCUCUAGGGCUGGCUCUCAAUCCACUGAGUUACCCAGCUGCCCCCUGUUUUUGGUUUUUUAAAAGGGCUUAGUUAUCUGGAAAAGUCACUUACAUGGAAAACGUCACUCCUCAUCAAUGAUAAGCCAAAUAAGACAUCACUCUAUAGGAAAUGGUCUCUAUCCUGAAGGAUCAUAGAUUUUGAGCUAGUUAAAACCUCAGAGGCAAGCUUGUCCACCACCUCAUUUUACAGAUAAGGAAAUUGAGACCCAAAGGGGAUUAAAAAAAUUGUAUUCUGUAUGUAUUUAUUGAUGCCUUUGUUGUCUGCUUUUUGAAAUGUAAGUUUCUUGUGAGUAAGGAUUAUUGUAUUUGUAUCCCCAACACCUACAAUAAUGCCUGAUGCAUAGUAGGUACUUAAUAAAGGCUUAUUGACUUGUCUUGAUGGAGAUCA
rnacentral:lncRNA from 1 species